ensembl:rRNA 5S_rRNA 5S ribosomal RNA
UAUGGCUAAACCACCCUGAACAUGCCCGAUCUCGUCUGAUCUCGGAAGCUAAGCAGCGUCAGUUCUGGUUAGUACUUGGAUGGGAGAACAUGGUCAAAAAAAGUGAUUAAUCCAGGAAGACAGAAGACUCCAAAC